AGCUAUAAGCUAUAAGCAAAAAUGGGGCUAACAAAAAAAAUACCCACGGUGCUAUUAACAAAUGGGAGAAAUUAGAAGAUCCUUCUUCUCCUGUCGUUGGUUAUAUAAGAGAAAUUUUGUUUCCUUCAGCUUCAAAAUGAGUGAUUAUAAAGAUACAGUGAUGGUGGUGCUAGGCUGCUAGUGCCGAGUUGCUGCGUAUCUAUGUUUUGACCCUCAGGCACAGCGAACGGCUUAAAAACGGUGCGUGUCAGAGGGUUUGAAUUGAAAAACGAUUCUAUUUGGCGGGUAAAGUCUGGAAAAACUCAGUUCAGGUCUUUUUAAUGCUACCCUUAAGCGAAGCUUCUUUCUUAGCAACUCUAAUACAGAAGUGUACCACCAUUACCUCCCUUAGAAAAGCCCGGCGACUCCACGCUUUAAUCUUAACCACCACCGCCUCCACCGGUUAUGCCCAAUCUCCGUACCCCAAUAACAAUCUCAUUGCUAUGUAUGCGCAUUGUGGUUCUGUUUUAUACGCGCAACAGCUGUUUGACAGAAUGCCUCAAAGAAAUGUUAUUUCCUAUAAUGCCCUUAUUGCAGCGUAUUCUAGAGAUCAUAAUUACGAGAUUUUGAGUUUCAAGUUACUUUCCCAGAUGGGAAUUCAAGGCCUGCGUCCUAAUGGAGCAACCUUUACAAGCUUACUGCAAGUGUGUUGUUCCCUUGAGAAUUGGUUUUUGGGCUCAAUGCUUCAUGCUCAAGUUGUAAAAUCUGGGUUUGUUAAUGAUAUUUGUGUUCAGACAUCGUUGCUUGGGAUGUACUCAAAUUGUGGGGAUUUGGACUCCAUGAAUAAAGUGUUUGGUUGUGUAGUGGAUAAAGAUGUUGUUUUGUGGAAUUCUAUGAUAUUUGGGGAGUUGAAGAAUGGGAGGAUGAAGGAUGGACUUUGUCUAUUCAGUGCAAUGCUGAGGUCUGGUGUUAUUCCUACCCAGUUCACAUGCUCAAUGGUGUUGAGUGCUUGUAGCAAAUUGCAAGGUUAUAGUUGUGGACGAGUAAUUCAUGCCCUAGUCAUUAUUUUGAAUAUACUAUCUGAUUCAGCUUUACAGAAUACCUUGCUUGAAAUGUACUGCAGCUGUGUUGAUACCAAAAAUGUUUUUAAUGUCUUUAGCAGAAUUGAGAGCCCAAGUUUAGUUUCAUGGAAUUUGAUGAUUUCUUGGUGUGCAAAAAAGGGAGAGGGAGAGAAAGCUAUGGAUAUGUUUGUCAAGUUGCUUGGAAUGUCUGUUUCUAAACCAGAUGAGUAUACUUUUACUGCAGUUAUUUCCGCUACUGCUGAAUUUCCAGCAACUGCUUAUGGGCAACCUCUCCAUGCCCAAGUUAUGAAAGCAGGGCUGCACUGGAGCGUCUUCAUAGGAACUGCACUGUUGUCAAUGUAUUUCAAAAACAGUGACACUGAAUCUGCUCAAGAGGUUUUCAGUUCGAUGAAAAAGAAGGAUGUCGUUCUCUGGACAGAAAUGAUUAUGGGUCACUCUAGGUUGGGUGAUGGGGAAAGUGCAAUAAAAUUAUUCUGCAAGAUGUGUCAGGAAGGCCUUAAGUUUGACAGUUUUGCUAUUAGUGGAGCUCUGAGUGCUUGUGCUGACCUUGCAACUUUAAAGCAAGGACAGAUGAUUCACACCCAGGCUGUUAAAACAGGAUGUGAUGCUGAAAUGUCUGUUUUUGGAAGUCUUGUAGAUAUGUAUGCAAAAAAUGGUAACCUAAAAGCUGCAGAGUUAAUAUUUUAUCAAGUUUCUAAUCCUGAUUUGAAGUGUUGGAAUUCAAUGAUCGGUGGAUAUAGCCACCAUGGAAUGGCAGAGGAGGCAAUGAUGCUCUUUGACGAGGUCUUAGAAUAUGGUCUAAGACCUGAUCAAGUAACAUUUUUGUCUCUUCUGUCUGCUUGCAAUCAUAGUGGCAUGGUUGAAAAGGGGAAGUUCUUGUGGGACUAUAUGAAGAAGAAUGGCAUUAUACCAGGUCCUAAGCAUUAUAGUUGCAUGGUAAGUUUAUUAAGUCGAGCAGGAUUUCUGGAUGAGGCAGAAGAACUUAUUGCCGAAUCAACCUAUAGCGAAGAGCAUUUGAAACUAUGGAGAACUUUGCUAAGUUCUUGUGUCAACAGAAGGAAUUUGAAAAUAGGAGUUCGUGCAGCAGAACAAGUGUUAAGACUAGAUCCACUAGAUAGUGCAACACAUAUUUUGCUUUCAAAUCUUUAUGCUGCUGUAGGGAGAUGGGAUGGUGUUGCCGAGUUGAGGAGAAAGAUAAGAGGGUUGAUUUUAGAAAAAGAUCCUGGAAUAAGCUGGAUAGAGGACAAGAAUGAUAUUCAUGUAUUCUCUUCUGACGACCAAUCAAACCCUGUGAUUGAUGAAGCUCAAGCUGAAGUGCAUAAACUACAGGGGAACAUGAUCAGAUCAGUUACGUAUGAAUAUGAAUUUAAUGCAAGGAUAUAUUCUACAUAGGACUUUUAAGACUAUCUGACAAGAACACUAUAGUUGUGUUUUCAUUUCCCAAGUGAUUGUUUAAGCAUCAAAGCUGCAAUUUGUGCAAGCUUUCCAGCCAAAUCAUGCCCAAUUGAGAGAAGCACUAUGCCUGCAGUUUAUUGAACAUGCGGCUAACUUGAGGUAUCUGAACUCUAAACCUAGGCUGAAGCAAAAGGAAUACAUCAAUCAUAUCUAUUGCAAUUUUUCAGUCCCGUUUUGUAAAGAUAUUGUAAAACGAAAACAAGUUUAUCAUAAUUAAUUGCAUGAUCGGUCUUAAGUUUGCAGAGGAAUUUUUGUGAAAAAACAGACCCAUUAUUGGCUGGCCACCAGAUGAAGGAAAAGUCAUCAACUUUAUUCAGGGCUAAAGAUAAUAAUCAACCGUUCCAAGGACCAGAAAGAAGCGCGAAUGCUAUCCAACCACCUGAGACAACUCCCGGCAAGAAACCUCCUUUCGACACAGGACUGAAUACUGCUUGCUUUUAAUUGUCUAUCAUCUCACGGUGCUGCUCUUAAAAGACGCGUUAUUUCAGAAAAUAAGGUAAACAUAUCAUAACUAACUUCAUAGUAGUUAGGUGAACUAUCCAAUGGAAAAACUAACUGUUGAGUAGAAGCAUAUGAACUUGACGCCUAGGCUCAUUGGGCUACUGGCAACAAAAUCCAAGCAACAAUCCGAGCAAAAUUCUAUAUGUUUGAUGCCUUGCCACAUCAGUUUUUCUCAGACUAAUCUAUAUUUGAAAACAUCAUCUAUCUAAAAUUUAUUGUACAAUGUUACAGGAACAUGAUCUUGCACCAUCAAACAUGAUUGGUAAUAUGCGGGCAGGGGUGGUGGGGAGUCAUUCUUUAUCUCUGUUGCAGCACAUGAAAAGUAAGCUGAUUUCUUAGACCCGACAACAGUAUCCAGAGCAAAAGAAGCUGCAAUGAGGCCAUUAAUAUUGGGGGAAAAACAAAUCUUAACAUGAAAUUUAAGAAUCUUAUGUAGUGACCAUCAUUUGAGCAGAGAAGACGGCUUAAUAUUUGAUCACCUGAGCCUUUGAGACUAGCGUCGGGCAGUUCGAGAUUUUGGCCUUGGUUUAGAUGUUGUCCCAAAGCUAGCCCCAGAUCCUGUUACAGCCCCUGAUGCAAAUGGUGUUGAAAAUAGGGAACCUCCAGCAGAAGUGGUAGAACUAAAGGAUGUAGCAGCACCGCUAAAUGAUGAGGGAGUUGAAGCAGAACCAAGUAAUGAUGCUGAUGAUAAGCCAAAAAGUGAAGCUUGGGGGGAAGCACCAGAUGACCCAAACAAAGAGGAUACUGGAGCAGCGGCUGUUGGUGUUGCAAAUAAAGAGGAUGAUGACAAAGAGGAAGAUGCUGCAGUAGAAGGUGUACUGAAAAGAGAGAAUCCACUCCCUGAGGAAGCUGAUGCCGUUGCUGCAGAUGUCUGUGGAACAAUUGAUGCUCCAGGAGCUGCUGAGGUUGCAAACAACCCAGCAACCUGUGUUGAAGGCUGUGAAUUUGCAGGCAAAUUCAAAGUUGGAUGUACCCGCUUAGCUGCAGCUUCUUGUUUUGCUGUUUCCCGCCGAUCAGCUUCAAGGAAUGGAUCAUUCACAUCCCCUCGACGGCGCUGAUCAGCAAGAUAGGCAGUUUUCAUAGAUGCGAUGUACUGAUGAAUGCUCUCCACCUUAGAUGCCACAUGAACAAAAAAGUCAUGCACAUUUGACAUGACUUUUGGAAGAGACUGCAAUAAUAAGGAUCCAGGGUGAGAAGAGUUCCUGUCAGAAUCUAAGAGAAGCAGUUGCUCUAACUCUUCAAUCCACUGACGGCAUUCACACAAAUAUUUCUCAAAUCUAACUACUGUUUGCUGUAAAAAUGGUGAUGGUUUCUUAGGAAGCCCACUGUAAAAAUCAAACACUGGCACAAUGAAGGUGGAUGUUGGUUGACCAGUAGAAACUGGUGUCACUGUUGUUCCAGAGGAUUGGGAUGGUGCAGUGGCAUUUGAAGCACUUCCUGGAUUAGGAUGAAGAAACCUAGGGCGUAGCAUCAUGAAAGAACGUACAGCCAUCUCUGUGUUCCGUAACAUGUCUUUAACAUUGAUCAUGAGCUCCUGUAGUAGAGCUUUCUGUCUUUCCAUGGCAGUACUGAUCCCCCCAAGCUCCAGAACAAUAUGGCCUGUGUCAAGCUCAAACCCUUCAUUGGAUACUGAGGAAUCAUAAAGGCGACUACACUGAUCUAGCCUCUGGCUCUCAUCCCUAUACUCCAAGAUCUGCUUCUCGAUCUGGAGUAGAAUUUUUUGAGAAUCAGGAUGGAGAUCUGCCCACUUGGUGCUGUAAUUCGCAGGAGCCUUGUCAUUGGUGAAAAGAUACAAUUGCUGUUGGUGGUGCUGUUGUUGCUGCUGCUGC
rnacentral:misc_RNA from 1 species